CCCUUAGAUGUUCUGGGCCGCACACGCGCUACACUGAAGGAGGCGGCGUGUACUCCUGGAUCGAAAGAUUUGGGUAACCCGCGAAUCUCCUUCGUGCUAGGGAUUGAGGUUUGCAAUUAUCCUUCAUGAACGAGGAAUUCCCAGUAAGUGCAAGUCAUAAGCUUGCGCUGACUACGUCCCUGCCCUUUGUACACACCGCCCGUCGCUACUACCGAUUGAAUGAUUUAGUGAGGACUUCGGACUGGGACCGAUGCGGCUUUCGGGCUGCGUCGGUAUUCUGGAAAGAUGUCCAAACUGUAUCAUUUAGAGGAAGUAAAANUCGUANCA
rnacentral:rRNA from 1 species